AGCAGCCGCGGUAAUUCCAGCUCCAAUAGCGUAUAUUAAAGUUGCUGCAGUUAAAAAGCUCGUAGUUGAAUUUCGGGACCAUCAUGUCGGUCGUGCCUCGGUACGUACUGGCAUUGUUGGUUUCUCCCUUCUGAAGAACCUUGAUGUCAUUAAUUUGGUGUCUUGGGGGAAUCAGGACUGUUACUUUGAAAAAAUUAGAGUGUUUAAAGCAGGCUCGCGCUUGAAUACAUUAGCAUGGAAUAAUGAAAAUAGGACGUUUUGAUUCUAUUUUGUUGGUUUCUAGGAUCGACGUAAUGAUUAAUAGGGAUAGUUGGGGGCAUUAGUAUUCAAUUGUCAGAGGUGAAAAUUCUUGGAUUUUAUUGAAGACUAACUACUGCGAAAAGCAUUUGCCAAGGAUGUUUUCAUUAAUCAAGAACGAAAGUUAGGGAUCGAAGACGAUCAGAUACCGUCGUAGUCUUAACCAUAAACUAUGCCGACUAGGGAUCGGAUGAUGUUAAUUUUUUAAUGUACUCAUUCGGCG
rnacentral:rRNA from 1 species